rnacentral:rRNA from 1 species
UACAGAGGUCCCGAGCGUUGUUCGGAUUUACUGGGCGUAAAGGGUGCGUAGGCGGUUGGGUAAGUUUGAGGUGAAAGCUCCGAGCCUAACUCGGAAACUGCCUUGAAGACUAUCUGACUAGAGGAUUGUAGGGGAGACUGGAAUUCUCGGUGUAGCAGUGAAAUGCGUAGAUAUCGAGAGGAACACCAGUGGCGAAGGCGAGUCUCUGGACAAUUCCUGACGCUGAGGCACGAAAGCCAGGGGAGCAAACGGGAUUAGAUACCCCGGUAGUCUUGGCUGUAAACGGUGCGCACUUGCUGUGGGCGGAUUCGACCCCGCUCGUGGCGAAGUUAACGCAAUAAGUGCGCCGCCUGGGAAGUACGGUCGCAAGAUUA